AACGAACGCUGGCGGCAUGCCUAACACAUGCAAGUCGAACGAGACCUUCGGGUCUAGUGGCGCACGGGUGCGUAACGCGUGGGAACCUGCCCUUAGGUUCGGAAUAACUCCCCGAAAGGGGUGCUAAUACCGGAUAAUGUCUUCGGACCAAAGAUUUAUCGCCUUUGGAUGGGCCCGCGUUGGAUUAGCUAGUUGGUAGGGUAAAAGCCUACCAAGGCGACGAUCCAUAGCUGGUCUGAGAGGAUGAUCAGCCACACUGGGACUGAGACACGGCCCAGACGACAGCGGGAGGCAGGAGUGGGGAAUGUGGGAAGAUGGGCGAAGGCUUGUACAGUCCAUGCGCCGUGGGUGAUGAGGACCUUAGGGUUAGAAUGCCCUCUGCCCAGGGAGGUGAAGGAAGGGGCGGGAAGAGUAAGCUCCGGAAAACUCGGCC
rnacentral:rRNA from 1 species